GCGUCCCGCAGGCCGUCGUGUUCACGCGAGAGUCCCGGUCUUCUUGUUCCUGCCCGGCUCAUUGAGGAGUUGACUCUGAACCUCCUGAGGCGUCAUCAUGUGUUCUUUAUACUUUAUGAUGAACUCCAGCGUCAGUGGGAACUUCACUGAACACGAUCCACCCUGAUCAGCAGCUUUGGACGAUGUGGAAUCAAAUCUCAUAUCUUCCUGCCUGACGGAGGCCUCCACGGGUCAUCUGGAUUCAAGGUUCGAGGCCCUCGUGUCGCCCCACGCUGUGUUCAGUGCCUGCAGGAGGAAGCACGUGGAUAAGAUGUAACGGUAGGAACGAAGUCCACGUGAGGACGAGCGGGGUCCUAAGAUGACAUGAACCAGGUGGUAGAGGAGCUGAGUUGGACUGAGUCCGAAGUCGCACAAGAAAAGACAAGAUGCAUGAAAUUGUUUUAAAAAACAUGUUUAAUAAAAACUAAAAUGUAUAAAA